AGUGAACGCUGGCGGUAGGCCUAACACAUGCAAGUCGAACGGCAGCACAGUAAGAGCUUGCUCUUACGGGUGGCGAGUGGCGGACGGGUGAGGAAUACAUCGGAAUCUACUUUUUCGUGGGGGAUAACGUAGGGAAACUUACGCUAAUACCGCAUACGACCUACGGGUGAAAGCAGGGGAUCUUCGGACCUUGCGCGAUUGAAUGAGCCGAUGUCGGAUUAGCUAGUUGGCGGGGUAAAGGCCCACCAAGGCGACGAUCCGUAGCUGGUCUGAGAGGAUGAUCAGCCACACUGGAACUGAGACACGGUCCAGACUCCUACGGGAGGCAGCAGUGGGGAAUAUUGGACAAUGGGCGCAAGCAUGAUCCAGCCAUACCGCGUGGGUGAAGAAGGCCUUCGGGUUGUAAAGACCUUUUGUUGGGAAAGAAAAGCAGCAGGUUAAUACCCCGCUGUUCUGACGGUACCCAAAGAAUAAGCACCGGCUAACUUCGUG
rnacentral:rRNA from 1 species